AUGCAAUUGUAACCACCAUUUCUUGGCCUAGGGGUGAGGCGUGAAGACACCUUCCCACAGACUGUGCAAUGCAGUGGAGGCCUGGGCAAAUCCUGUUCACUCCUUUCACUCAUGGGUGAAGACUACCACAGAUACAGUGGACCAGUGCCAUUCCACUGCAGAAGGAAGCAGGGUUUGGGGACCUAAGAAUCAGCAACAGGAACUGCAAAGUCUAAUGGUGAUGCGAUUGGGUUGGCAUAACAAUGGUUUUCACUUAAGUUCCUACCCAUGUACUGGGUGCUCAGCUACCAUAGUGAUGGGCACAGUCUAAAAACCCAUAUACAACAAAACUGGGAUGUGUGGGCUGAAGCAAGGAUAGAGAUUUUACAGCUAUUUGGAUCAUCCAUGAGCUAUUCCCUCCAGGCAGUUCAAUGAGGAAGACUAGCUCGAGAUUGCAUUUGUGGCUAUGGAGUAGCUUCACAGCCUCAGAAGGGGAGGCUGUCCUCUUUCAUUCUUCCUGAGGCUCUCUCCAGUACACAGCUUCAUUACUCUGGCUGUACACUUCCUCCUUAGCAAUGAUUAACAAUGCGGACUUUUUUUCUCAGAAGAGAGCACUGUUUUAAAAAACGGAGAUACCAUCAUGCAAUCAACAGAUUAAACAACUCUUCAGUUAUUUUAUGGAGAACACAUAUUGCAAAGAUCACUGCAGAGAAUCUAAUGUAGGAAACUUGCUAUGCAACUAGGAACAGCAUGGGGACAGCCGCAAUUCCCUACAUCCAAAGCUGGAUAUCUCGACAGUUCUCUGAGGAGUCAGAAGUCAGAAUUUCCUAACGCCAUUUCAUAAAGGUCACUGACAGCAGGCUGAGUUGUUCUGAGUCUACUUAGAAUUCCUUGGGCUAGCACAGGUGAAUGCUGUACCAGGUAUUCCAGCAAAUGCAGCCUGCCCAGCUUCAUCCUGAUAUUUCAUUCGUGUAAAUGAGCUUUACAGAGGAGUUACAGUACAACUCAAAAGACUCUCCACAUGACUGGCUAAGAACAAGGCCAGAGGGACCUUUAUCGUCCGGAUACAAGUUAUGCCAUUAUGAAAUAAUGAAACAAGUGGACUGCUUUCGAAACCGCUGGUUUAUACAAGGUCUGGUAGCUGGAGUGGAGAAAAAAGUCUGCAAGCACAGAAGAGUUUCAGCAUGGACAUUUUAUGUACUUUCGGGUACUUCACCACAUAAAGGUCUAGACUGUGCCUCAAAGCCACAGCCUGCGCUGGAGGGAAGGAUGGAGCAUACCAUAAGCAACAGCCCUAAGGAGGAAUUUGAUUGAGUGAGCCAGAUUUCCUGCUGGGGUGCAAGUACAGCAGUGGCAGAUCUGCCACUCCAGGAGACAGUGCAGCAUGCACUCUGCUCUACCUCUGCAACUUUGUAAACUGAUGUGAAGAAAGGGUGGGGCCAUGACUUCAUUCUCAUCCUGCCCCUCCCGGGGAGGUUAUGAUACUAGCAAGUAUGCAUUUUUCAGCUACACUAUAGCUGGCCCCUAUACAGGAACUGAAUGUUGGGGAAGACAGUUAUGCAGGCUCAGCAAAGAGCCCAAAGACUGAAUGGACCACGCAGACUGAACUACCUUCUUGCCUUAGAGAUGUCCCUUCCAGGUGAGGGUGGAAACACACUGGCAUUUGUGCAGCAGUGUUGGAAGCUAGCGUUACUGCUGUGUCUGUCCUGUGGUUGAGUAGUGGACUUCAGUUUUUGUGGCUGCCCAUCUGAAUCAAUUCACUCAGCAAUAAAUAAAUGCAAAUUUAUAUUAAAAAAAUUAAAAACUGGAAAUGUGUAAUAAUUGUUGCAGCACUGAUCAAACAACCAGGACAUUCUGGGCCAGAUCUUCAGCUGGUAUAAAUCAGCGUAGUUCCAUUGUCAUCGAGGUUCUCAAGAUUAGGUUAAACUUCACUACGGGGUUUGGAUUUAUUUUCCUGCUGAACAGUGCAAACUAAGGACUCCAAUUAAGUUUCCUGGCUUUUGCCAGCUGUUUCAAAACGUUACUUAAAUAUAGUUUUAUUUUGUUUUUAAUAUUUCUAAAGUUUAUACCAACUAUGGCAAAGUUUCUGUCUUGUAUAAGUCUAUUUCAGUGGUUAUUGAAACUUCAGACUCUUUCUGUUUAGGUAAAAAGAUCUGGGCAUAUUUUGAAAUGCCAAAUUCAGCUAGUUAAACAGUUGUAAGAUUAAACACGGUCAUGAUUUACUUCAUAAUUGUAUCUUGUCCUGUAACUGUAUUGUACUGCUGGAUUUACUCUGCAAUGUCUUUAAGCUUCCCCAUGGACAUAUACACAAUGUAAACAUACUGUCAAGAUUAACUGAGAUGGGCCAAUUGUCCUCUAAAAAUAUGUUUAAUGAAUAAGAAAUAAAUAGUAGGAUAGUGGCUAGUAAAAACUGCGCAAUGUGGAUUUAUUAAAGUGCAACAAAAAUCAUAACACAAAAUUAAAAUUACAUCAAUAAAUAAAUAAUUAAAAGAAGAAUUCACAAUGAAAAGUUGUAGAGUAAGAUUCUAGGCUAACCAAGAUAUUUGAAGCUUAAU